UGGUUUUGGGGCCCUACCU
rnacentral:misc_RNA from 1 species